UACGUAGGGGGCAAGCGUUGUCCGGAUUUAUUGGGCGUAAAGAGCGUGUAGGCGGCCAGACAGGUCUGCUGUGAAAACUCGAGGCUCAACCUCGAGACGCCGGUGGAAACCGUCUGGCUAGAGUCCGGAAGAGGAGAGUAGAAUUCCUGGUGUAGCGGUGAAAUGCGCAGAUAUCAGGAAGAACACCCGUGGCUAAGGCGGCUCUCUAGUACGGUACUGACGCUGAGACGCGAAAGCGUGGGGAGCGAACAGG
rnacentral:rRNA from 1 species